rnacentral:rRNA from 1 species
AGAGUUUGAUCCUGGCUCAGGAUGAACGCUAGCGGCAGGCUUAACACAUGCAAGUCGAGGGGUAACAGAAUAGCUUGCUAUUGCUGACGACCGGCGCACGGGUGCGUAACGCGUAUACAAUCUACCUUAUACAGGAGAAUAGCCCUAAGAAAUUGGGAUUAAUGCUCCAUAGUAAUAUUUGAUCGCAUGAUCGAAUGUUUAAAUCUUCGGAGGUAUAAGAUGAGUAUGCGUCCUAUUAGUUAGUUGGUAAGGUAACGGCUUACCAAGACAUCGAUAGGUAGGGGGCCUGAGAGGGUUAUCCCCCACACUGGUACUGAGACACGGACCAGACUCCUACGGGAGGCAGCAGUGAGGAAUAUUGGUCAAUGGAGGCAACUCUGAACCAGCCAUGCCGCGUGAAGGAAGAAUGUCCUACGGAUUGUAAACUUCUUUUAUUUGGGAAGAAACCCCUCUACGUGUAGAGGGCUGACGGUACCAAACGAAUAAGGACCGGCUAACUCCGU